GUUAGUAGUAGGCGUAAGUCAGUUUAGGGCAAUAUACAAUCAAAUAGUUUAGUCUACGCCCGUCAACGGGGCAUAGCCUCAAGGAGAAAAGAAAACAAAAAACAAAUUACACAUUCUUCUCAGGUUCAACUCCAUUGCAGUUAUCAAUUCUGGCAGCUUACGAUUCUUAAAUUUUAGCGCAAACAUUAGAUCAUUUUCGUAAGGAACGCCGGCUAAGGUAAUACCUGACUUGAGACCGCGUGCAAAGCCACAUUGACCGUGAUCACAGCAAAUCUGCUGCUCUUCGGGAUGACCCGAACUCAACUCAUAUAUUGGUCGAUGCACAUGAAACCCACACAACCAGCAACCAAAAGCCACAAAGCCAAAGCAAGCCACUGCUUGGCUGCCAACUCGACAAGGAAGCCGCAGUUUCAGUACGAGGCUCGUACUUAAACUGCUGCCCGCUUCUGCCUACGACUCUGAAGCAGAUGAGACACUCAAUUUGCUAA
rnacentral:sRNA from 1 species